rnacentral:lncRNA from 1 species
CAGGACUGGAGAGAGGAUGUUAAGUUGCUUGCACGUGUAUUUAGAAGAAACCACAAAAAGCAUAGCUUCCCCAGUUUCAUUUUAAGUGGUGGAAAAAAGCGUGAGCUUUACACACACCUAAGAAGUAAAAACCAGCCCCAAACUAGAGGACAGAGAAGACUAUCAUAUUUCAAGCAGAAUAGGAGAGGAAACAAGACAGGGCUUAGCAAACAUUUAAAGGAAGAUUGGACUACAGGACAUCUCUAUGUGUAUCCUGCAGUCUGUACACACUGUACACACCUACCAUGUGAUUUAAGGAAGAAGCACGCAGCAGAAUGGCAUUUGGAAAAAUGCCCCUUAUGGAGACUUCCAACUGAGAAUAAUACAAUAAUGUAUCUACCAUCCAUCUGUCAAGGUUCUUACACUGGCACCCAUGACUGUUGAAUCAGAAUACUAAUACUUAAUAGAAAAUUAUGCUUUCCCCACAGAAUCACUCAAAACACCACAAAAUAAAGUUUUCUAUCACCCUUGCA